GACCCAUGACCCAGUUGCUCACGCAUCACAAGUGUUUAUCCAGAUGUGUGCUGGACUUCUGUCCAGAAGGCUGCUGUGAGAGACAGUAUCAAAAUCUUUACUGAAAUCCAAGGCUUCCCCUGAUAAAGUAGUUCCCUUUGGGCAGCUGAUGAUAUUGAGCAUAUUACGGAAACUUGCACAGAAGGAUCUGCAUCAGUUACACGGGAUUCUAAACAGUAGAGGACUCAUUGUUCAUUGUCUCCAGUGAGAUGAUCUCUCUGAAGAGUGCUGAUUAAGAUUCUUUUUAAGACCUCAACUUGCUUCAAUGAGAAUCGUGAUUCGUUUUUGAUAUGGCAGCUGCUCGUGAGUAUUUAUACUUCUUCCCACUUCAGCUGUAUGUUGCUGGAGGUUUUACAGUUGCA